UUCUUCCAGAAAGAGUUAAGGCUGAUUCUUUCAAUCCCUGAACAGUUACGAGUUCUGAAGCUUACAGUAUCACAAGGAAACAUUUUAUCCUCUGGUUGGCAGGCUUUGACUAGUGGGGUUAGGUGCUUACAAUCUGUAUCAAUUAUGGGGACCAAAUUAAUAUUUCUAAGUUUUCUAAUGAGCUAAAACUAGGUGAAAAUGUGAGUGGUAGGGACAGUGGAAAGAAAUUUCAGAAAGGGCUUUGGUGGGCGGAGUGAGUGGGCAAGACCACAGUAGAUAAUGUGGAUAAGUUUGAGGUUUUCCAUUAUGCACUUCCAUUCCUCUUCCCAGAGUAUUUCUUCAACUGUUAAGAGUUUGAACAUCAGCAUUUUCCAUAGGGACCUGAGUGUACUUGUAUGUUAUUUGCUGAAAGCUAGUGUGCAGUUAGGACAUUGUUGAUCUUGUUACAAGACGUGAGCACAGCAUUAAAGAAGUCUUUCAAUCGUAUAGAACUUUGAGACAUUCAACUGAAGCAUUGUGUACAGUUUUGGUCCCAUACCUAAGGAUGGAUAUAUUUGCUGUGGAGUGAGUGUAGAAGAGGUUCUUUGAGGAGACGCCCUGUAUUUUCUAGAUUUGAAAAGCAUGAGAGUUAAUUUCAUUGUUACUUACUUGAUAAGCUAGAUUUGGGUGGAUACAGAAAUUAUAUUGCCCAGACUGAGGGUUUUAGAACAUUAGUCUUAGAAUAAGGGCAAGACAUUUUGGAGAAAUGAGGAAUUUCUUAUCAGAGUUUAGGUUGAUAGAAUUUGAUAGUGAUAUCAAUGGAGAUGAUCUAAAUGGCAAAACUGCUGGAGCUGCACUUAUGUUGAAGCAGACAAUUGGAGCAAGAGUUGGUCAUUUGGCCCAUUGAGCCUGCUCUGCCAUUCAGUAUGAUCUCUCUAUUUCAAAGCUUAUACACCUGUUCUACCCCCUACCUUUUGAUGCUUUUGAGUAUCUACAAAUCUGUCUGUUUAAUUCUUAAAUAUAUUCUGUGAUUUGGCCUCCAGUAUCUUAUGUGAUAGAGAAUUCCACAGCUUCACUGCCCUCUGAAUUAAAAGAUUUCUCCUCAUUUCAAUCCUAAACAGUCUGUUCCUUACCCUGAGAUUGUGGCCCCUUGCUCCAGGCAACCAGGAGGAACUUUCAAGGUCCUAACGAAAAUUUGUAGUUUGUGUUGUGGGUGUAAUUGUUUAGCUCGCCGAGCUGGUUGUUCUCUGGUGUGUAGAUGUUUUGUUACCCUUCUAGGCAACAUCAUCAGUGUGACCUCUAAUCAAAGGGUUGAUGUUCUGCUUCCUUCAGGAUUUAUACGAUCCUCUAGUGUGAUGGCCUUGUCACUUCUGGUUCUGUUGUUUUAGCAGCGGUCUGUAUACAGGGUCUAUUUCUGUGUUUGUUAAUGAAGUCCCGUGUUGAAAACCAGGCUUCCAGAAAUUGCAUGUAUGGUGUUCGCUUGUCCUAGUAUGGUCACUUUGUACAAGUCGAACUGAUGGCCCUCAUCACAGACAAUGAGGGCCAACAGAACUGGAAGCAACAAGCCCUUCACACCAGAAUAUCAUAUAAAUUCGGAAGGAAGCAGAACACCAAUGCUUUGAUUAGAGGUCGCACUGAUGUUGUCUAGCAGGGUAACGAAACGUCUGCACACCGGAGAACAACAGGUUCGGCGAACUAACAAACGCCUGCAACUUGGAGGAACCUCGGCCCUUCAUACAGUCUGACCAGCCCUGUCAGAACUUCAUAUGUUUACGAAGUGAUUCUUAAUCCAGGCAUUGAUUGUGGAAGACUGUUGAGCAUGCAUGCGCAUUAGUUGAUGUCCUGAUUCUGAGCCUGAUGUCAUAAUACUGGUUUCACUUAUUGAUAUCAUUUUGUCUGUUCUCAGAGAAAGAGAGAGAGUGAAAGUGAAAGUGAUGAACCUGCAGUCUCCUCCGCCCCAACAACACCAAAAUUGGUACCAGAGCUGAGCCAGAAAGACAAAAAGAAGAAGAAAAAAGAGAAAAAGCAAAAGUUAUUACAAGAAACAGAGGUUAAACCUGAAAGUGAUGAGCCAGAACCUACCUUGCUGACUACGAAGAAGGAGAAGAAAAAAAAGAAAAAAGAGUUAGAAAUUGGAGAAUCUGGGACUAGGAAUGCUGAAAGUUCGAAAAAGAAGAAAAAGAGAAAGGAAAAGGCUGAAUCAGGCGACUGAUGGAGUGGCUCAAAACAUCUGUGUUCGACAACUAGAGGGAGGAAUGUUCAACCGUGAUAGAAUUUGAUGCAAAAGCACCACUUUCAUUUUGAACCGUUGAUCAGAGACAUUGAAGUUGACUUGUGUUGGAAUCACACUUGUGCAAUCUGUAUUACCAGGUUUUUGCUCCCACACUAUCCUGUUAUGAAGAUAGUAUUCAAGGGGUAUUCAUAAAUGGUUUAUCAUGUUCAUAGUUAGCCUCCAGGAACGGUGCAUUGCACUGAUUUUGUUUUUAAAAGUAUUCAUAGCAGAAAACCAGUUGUUUUGCAGGUUGUCAGCAAUUAAUAUAAAGCUAGCGUUGCCUCAUUGUUACAAAUAUCGUAUAUGAUGUUGAUCCCUUUCUGCAAGGGACACAUACAAUAUUGGUAGUAAUGGAAAUAGAGAUUGUGUGAAGCAACUCUGCGUUGGAUAAAAUACUUGCCUCAUGUCUGAUGUCACUUACAGACCAGGGCUAUAGUUGCCCUUGUGACAGCUUUCAGUUACAAAACUUGUAGUUGGGUGGAAACCUGUUUGCAAAAUAUAUCAUGUGGGUUGACAUGACAAUUGCCAUGCUCUGAAUUGGCCCGUGUUGCUUUCCUAACUCUUGUUAGUUGUCGGAGAUAACAAGGUGCAGAGCUGGAUGAACACAGCGGGCCAAGCAGCAU